rnacentral:rRNA from 1 species
CCUACGGGAGGCAGCAGUGAGGAAUAUUGGUCAAUGGGCGUAAGCCUGAACCAGCCAAGUCGCGUGAGGGAUGAAGGUUCUAUGGAUCGUAAACCUCUUUUAUAAGGGAAUAAAGUGUGGGACGUGUCCUAUUGUGGAUGUACCUUAUGAAUAAGGAUCGGCUAACUCCGUGGCAGCAGCCGCGGUAAUACGGAGGAUCCGAGCGUUAUCCGGAUUUAUUGGGUUUAAAGGGUGCGUAGGCGGCCGUUUAAGUCAGCGGUGAAAGUCUGUGGCUCAACCAUAGAAUUGCCGUUGAAACUGGGGGGCUGGAGUGUGUGUGAGGCAGGCGGAAUGAGUGGUGUAGCGGUGAAAUGCUUAGAUAUCACGCAGAACGCCGAUUGCGAAGGCAGCCUGCCAAGGCAUGACUGACGCUGAUGCACGAAAGCGUGGGGAUCAAACAGGAUUAGAUACCCGAGUAGUC